UACGGGGGGGGCAAGCGUUGUUCGGAAUUACUGGGCGUAAAGGGCGCGUAGGCGGCCCUCUAAGUCAGACGUGAAAUCCCACGGCUCAACCGUGGAACUGCGUCUGAUACUGGAGGGCUUGAAUCCGGGAGAGGGACGUGGAAUUCCAGGUGUAGCGGUGAAAUGCGUAGAUAUCUGGAGGAACACCGGUGGCGAAGGCGGCAUCCUGGACCGGUAUUGACGCUGAGGCGCGAAAGCUAGGGGAGCAAACGGG
rnacentral:rRNA from 1 species